UAUAUUUGCCAGUGUAAUGACUCGCAGAAUUACCACGAAUAAAUAGUGUUAAAGUAAAGAUUUGUAAAAAAUAAAAUAUCAGUUUAAUACAAAAAAUAGUAAAUAUAGUCUUCAUUAUAGACAUAUAUUUUUAAAAAAUAAAACUAUAAUAAAAAAAAAUUUAAUCGUUUCAAUAAAAUUAUUCAACAUUAUUCAAAAGAAGUCACACAUCAUGCAAACGAAUAAUUAAAAUUAUUUAUUAUUUAUACAACACAAUAAUCAAAUGAGAAAAAGAAUGAGAAAAAAAAAGUAGGCCCCACUAUUCCCCAAAUUAAGGGGAUGUGUAUAUGUAGGAUUUAGCCAUGGAGAUUAAUGUAUAGUAGUGAAGAGGCCCGCGCUUUGCAGCAGGUAGAAACCGUAGUAGCAAUUAAUAAUAAGAAAUAUGAAAUAUUUUCUUGUGUAUCUCACUUGGUAUAUCUACCAAAGGUCUUUCAUUGUUGGCUGAGGAUAUAGGCUGGACGAUGCCUUCUCCAGCGAUGGUGAUGGUGAUAGUGACGGUGACGACGUUCCCUCCGACAACCGUAGAAGGGGGAAGUGGGCGUGCAUUAGUGAGAGAGAGGGAGGGAGCGAGGGAAAGAGGCUAUGGUGUAUAACAAAAGGUGAGAGAUAGAGAAUUGAUGAAUAAAUUGGAGAUAAAAAAUUGAAGUCCAGUGGAAGAAAGAAAAAAAGUCAUGAUGCAUAAUUGGAGGUAGAGAGAUUAUGAUUGUAGAUAAUAGUGGAACUAUUUAAAUAUACUAAUUGGAAGUUUGGUAGUGGGAUCAUUUAAAUAUACUAAUUGAAAGUUUGGUAGUGGGACCGUUUGUAUUAAUUAAAAGUAUAGUGAAGGAAAGAAAAAUGGUCAUGAUGAAUAAUUGUAGAUAGAAAUGAUAGAAUUGUAGAUGGUAGUCGGACAAUUUAAAUCACUAAUUAAAAGUUUGGUUAGUGGGACUGUUAAAAUGCAUAUUGAAAGUUUGAUGAAGAGAAGAAGGGUCACAUACUAGUGAGGGUGAAGAAAAACUUGCCACGUGACAACAAAUAUUAGGAAUUCAUAUAGGUUAAUAGAUAAUAGAGGUAAGUCAUAGAUCAUUUAAUAAAUGCUACAUAUACACCCUUUAUAAAAGUGUAUGUUUCAUACCCAACAAUCCAAUAGUUAAUAACAAUUUCUUUUGGUCUUAUCGACCGUCCCUAGAGUAAGUGGCAAAGGGUUUGGUGGUUGGUACCUAAGGUCCCAAGUUCGAAUUCUAAUUGAUUCACAUUUCCAGCUAAAUUUAUUUUUAAAUGAAAUAACGAAGCGGGUAGCGUGCUACCUAUUUCUCAAAAAAAAAAAACUUCUUUUGGUCUUACUAAACUAAAAAAAAGGCUAAACUAUAAAAAAGAAAAUCUAUAAGCAUCUUUUUUUCACUUUUCUAUCUAUUUUCAAAACUUUACAUUUUACCCCUCUCAACAUUUCAAGUUGUUACAUUUAACCUUCCUCUGUCGGGGUUUCAUUACUAUACCGUCCAUUUCUUAUAAUUUAUAUCGAAAAUAUCCUUUAAAGUGAUAAAAGUAUAUUAAAUUAUUGUUAUUUUUUUUAUAGAGAAGUAAGAACAAAAAUUGAU
rnacentral:lncRNA from 1 species